UAAAAGUUAGAAAGAGAGCUGGGCAGGGGCAGGGGCUGGAGAGGGAUUCUUAGGUGAACUGAAGAGUUCGGGCUAGAAUGACCUGGGAAGAUGGAGCGAACUGGGCAAAGGGGGUUUCUCGAAGAUUAGACUUAACCCCAUCACCUGUAAUUGUGAUGUUCACUGUCACACUUUUUCCUUUUGUCUUCACUGUAAACUACAAUAUUUGACACCAAGAGUGUUGGUGGUCUCGUGUCCUUUUAGGAGUGGAUUAAGGUUAAACUCAAGAUAUGUGUUCCUCUGUGUUUUAGGAGUAGAAACUAUACAAGUUCAAAGAGACUCACUGUCCAUUUAUUAGUAACAUGACACAUGUUCAGAUUUUACAAACAGCAUCUUACUUUUUUCUUUAGCUCUCCCAAUCUUCAUGUUGUUUUGGCUGCUUUUGAUCAGAUAGGAUCCCCAGAGCUAGUUUACUCAGCAUGCAAAUAUCCACUGUACAAACAUGUCCAUUAUUCUGUAAUCAUUUUUCCUUCCCUCUGGGUAUAGAGUUUGUUGACCUCAAGGUAACUGAUUUCAGAAAGUUUAAGGCAGAAAGGAAAAUAUCCAUCUAGAUUUUGGAUCUUUAUCCCAUGUGCUGGGUAGAUGGAAAAGGGAAGUGGUGUAAUCAAACUUCAGAGUCAGGAAACACCAGAUCAGAUGAACCCCCUGCCACAUUGUGUUUGGGUGGCAGGAGUAGGAUCAUUUAAAAGAUUUGGCAGUCUAACUGGAAAUCUGAAUGUCACUAUAGCAUGUGUCUGGGAAGAGAGAAAAUAGGUUUUAGCAAAGGAAAAAAGACAAUGAAACAAAACAAUAACUAUCUUUUCUCUUUUGGCUCCUAAAUCAGUUUUUCCCUUUUGUUACCUUGCAGUCUGUCUUCUACUCAAUGCAUGCUAAUACCAAAGUCAUGUUUUUCAAAGUAACUAAGUAGACUUUUUUCUCUUCCUUUGUUUUAGAGUAAGAAUGUGAUAGAAAGGCCUUCAGGUUUCCACAGAAAUACUGAUGUCUGCUUCGUGAUUACUGACAGAGAGAAGAGUUAAGUUUCAGCUCAGGAAUUUGUCUUACCUGCCAAACAACUCAAGGAAGUUCAAGUAUUCACUAUUUUAUCCAUUUUAUGAAAAAAUUGUGAUUUUCCAUUACUGCCUGCUGCCACUGCAUUAGAGAGUUGCCAUUUCAAACACGACUGGAAGGUCCCAUCCCUGCUUGGAGCCUAUGCUACCAGGAGAGAGCUGGAUUAGAAGUGGAGAAGCUGAGACACGAACAGCACCACAGGCAGAGGCUUAACCUACUAUGCCCCUUAAAAACCUAAAUUUAAGACCUGAGACUAUGAAAUUGUUGAAAAAAAAAAAAAAGGUAGGGGAAACACUUAAAGAAAUUGUUUACGUGUUGACUUCUUGGAUAAGCACCUCCCCCACCCG